GCAACUGGUGCACUGACCGUGUAAUUUUGGGGAACAUUGUGGUCAGGCUAUUAGCUCAUUUCACAAACCCUAGUUUCCCAUCUAUAUAAAUUAACUGCGAUCAUCCCGUUGGCAACAGUCGUUCCAUUUGAUUCCAAAUUCCUAUCUUUUCAGAUCGCAGCCUUUACUCUCACACAACACUGUUUUUCCUUGAAUUCCUGCAAAAUUUUGUUUGCCUUGCGGUUUCUAAUAUUCAUUCCGAGAGAGGCAUCUAUGCUAUGAUUACCUGUGCUUAAUCGAUAGCAACAGGGGAUAUGAAGCGAUGCGAAAUCAAAAUUUCCGGGUACCUAUGGACUGGCAGAUUCUUUAUUCUUGGUGGAUUCUGACUAUUUCUCGUAGGUUUCACACCCUCUCAUCUUCUAAACACCGAUCCGUCUCAGAAAUCGCCAAUUAUUUUCUCAAAUUUGUUUUACCCGAGUUUGUGUCUGAGUGCUCAAUGAUGAUUGAUUUUGCUUUAACCACACCGAAGAGAGGCUGAGUCUGGUUUCGAUUUUGGGUAUAAGCCAAGGGAAGAACUUUUUGUGCUUGGUGGGUGCCUGAUGACUCUCUUAUCUAUGACUAGGAGGUUAAUGCCCCUUUUUAUAGAGAAAAGAGGAAGGCUUUAUCAAGCAUUUGAAGUAUCUUUGGCUUGGAUCGAAGAGGGUUACCUGCUCCAAGUUCUCUCAUGUGGAAAACCAUGGCCUUUUAUCUGAGAGCAACCACAAUUCUUUUUACUUCAAUAGAUCUGUAUCUUGAAUUUCUUGGGUUGAUUAUGCGCGAAUCAUUCUCUAGUUAAAUGCACGAUACAAAUCAGGGCAACGGAGCCGGUGCAGGGGAGAGAGCAGCAGAAAAUAGGCUGGAAAAAAGCUUUUCGGCAAGCACUGCGUUUGCUUUGUCCGUGGGAUGGAAUGCAUCCCAGAAUACAUAUUCACUGCGAUUGCUGCACAUCUUGGAGUUAGGCAAGCAUAGCCCCCCGAUGUUCGAGUCAACCUUGCAACACGAUGUAUUGGAAAUCUUAAAUCCUGCAUGAGAAACAGGGUCAAUUUCAAGACAUUGUUUUGUUUAUACCUAGUUGAUUAUUCUGAAUUGAGGCUUUUGGGUUUACCAUAUGUGGUGGGAUUAUCGAUCAAAUCCAGAACUGCUGGAUAUGUAUCUGCAAAUAUUAGUUUUGCAUUUGGGAGGCGCCCGUUUAGAGAGGCUACUAGGUUUUGUGCUUUGUAGUUGAAUUCCUGAAUCCAUUGAUUUACUCUCGUUAAGCA